rnacentral:rRNA from 1 species
UUUAGGGUUUAACCUGCCCACUGAAUUAUUGAAGGGCCGCAGUAUUUUGACUGUGCAAAGGUAGCAUAAUCAUUAGUUUUUUAAUUUAAAGCUUGUAUGAAGGGUUGGACGAGGUAAAUUCUGUCUCUAAAUGAAUUAUUAUAGAAUUUAAUUUUUAAGUUAAAAAGCUUAAAUGUUUUUAAAAGACGAGAAGACCCUAUAGAUCUUUAUAUUAAAUUUAUUAAUUAAAAGUAGGAUUUUUAAAUUGGUUAAUAGAUUUAAUAUUUUAUUGGGGUAAUAAAAAGAUUAAAUUAAUUCUUUUUUAAUUUUAACAUUGAUAAAUGAUUAUAUGAUCCAGUAUUAUUGAUUAAAAGAUUAAGUUACCUUAGGGAUAACAGCGUAAUUUUUUUAGAGAGUUCAUAUCGAUAAAAAAGUUUGCGACCUCGAUGUUGGAUUAAAAAUUAUUUUAGGUGUAGAAGCUUGAAAUUUUGGUCUGUUCGACCAUUAAAUUUUUACAUGAUCUGAGUUCAGACCGGUGUAAGCCAGGUCGGUUUCUAUCUUUAGAAAAGUUUUAAAUUUUAGUACGAAAGGACCAAAUUUAAUAUAUAUUAAUAUUUAAAGAGUUUGAUUAU